UGGUAUAGUGAACAAGGUCAAGGUUGUGAUG
rnacentral:piRNA from 1 species